AUACGGAGGGUGCAAGCGUUAUCCGGAAUUAUUGGGUUUAAAGGGUCCGUAGGCGGCUAGAUAAGUCAGUGGUGAAAUUCUCUCGCUCAACGAGAGACCUGCCAUUGAUACUGUCUUGGCUAGAGUUACAGUGAGGUGAGUGGAAUGUGUAGUGUAGCGGUGAAAUGCAUAGAUAUUACACAGAAUACCGAUUGCGAAGGCAGCUCACUAACUGUAUACUGACGCUGAUGGACGAAAGCGUGGGGAGCAAACAGGAUUAGAAACCCUAGUAGUCC
rnacentral:rRNA from 1 species